CUCACGUCUCCACGCGGGAAAGUUGCUUCCUGACUCUGAGCUCUCCCCCGGCUCGGGCAGCCGAGUGCAGUGAUCAUUCCCGAUCCCAAAAGCGUCUCUACGCCCCUUGGGGAGUGCGAAGAGUGCAGCGUCCUUGGAAGCCAGCUUUGAGCAAGGCACCUGACCUUCCAGGACUUCAGGAGGCGCCUCAGAGAAACCCUGCCUCACUGUCUGCUCGCGUCUCAGACAUCUGUCUACGUGGAGUCUACAGACCUUCUUUGGGAAGAGGAAUCGUAGGGGAACUAUUGACUUUCUUCAAGCAGUAUCAUGGCUGGAUUUGUGUUUUAGGAUAAUCUCCUUGGCUCCUGUGUGGGGUAGAUUCAGAAGGACCUAGGGGAAGGAGUGAUUCAUCUGAAGAAGCAGACAGAGUUCCUCAGUCAGCAUGGGGGAGGGGAGCUGAUCGUUCCACCACAGGGAACACCAGGAGUGGAGUGUGGAGGCCCUGGUGAGCAGGCUUCUGGUGCACUGUGGUGAGGGCAGAAUCCAAGAAGGAGCGGGGCAUUUUCCUUGAGGGACAGGAGAAUCAUCAGAGUCCUAUAAGCUUAUCAAAUUUAGAGGGAUGAUUGUGACAGUGGAGUGGAAGUCUGGGGCUUACAUAGAGGUAUAUUUCAUCACUGCAUGUGACAAAUAAUAAUAGUUCAUGAUAUUUAUAGAGCCUUCUGGGCACUGUAUGUGCACUGUAUCAUUUAACCACCACAAAAGUCUGCUAAGAUACAUACUAUUAUUACUGAGAAGCCAUAGAAUUUCAUUAUCAUGAAGCCAAGCUUUGAAGCUAAACCAUUUGGGUUAAAAUCUUGACUCCACACUUAAUUAAAUGUGUACUUUUAGGCAGGCAACUUUCCAUAAUGCAGUUUUCUUCCUUUUAUAAUGGGGUAAUAAAAGUGCCAGGAUGAUGGGGUUAUAGAAAGGAUUAAAUGAGAUUCUACCUGUACACUGUUUAGAACAAUGCCUGUCCAAACCAUGAUGUUUAAUGGGUGUUGACCCACUAUUGACCCAUUUCACCUAGAAGGAAACUGAGGCUUCAGGUGAGAGAGUCACGUUUGCAAGGUCACACUAUGAAUAAGUUGCAAAUUUUAGUUUCAAAUGGGAAUGUGAAUCUACUUUGCCAUUGUCAUCUUCAAGACCCUGGUUAAUUAAUUAAUGGAUUGAUCAAACAUUUAUUCACUUAUUAAGCCCCUAGUAAGGGCCAAGCAUGGUGAAUUAUCUCAGGUGCUCUCUACCAUACAAUGUGCAUGACUCUUCCAGUUCUGUAAGUGACAGUGUCCAUGUUCAGAGGAGUUGAGUAACUUAUCCAAGACCACAGAAUUGCUGUUGACUUCCCAACAUCCAAUCCACACCAUCUGCAGGGGCAGCACUUGAUUCAUCUCUGCUAAUCAUGGAAAUCAUAUCCCAGUUUCCAGAGGGAGAACCCGGUCCUAAGCCAAUUAGUGCAGAGCAUUCUCUUGGCCACAGGAUUAGCUUAGAAAUGAGUGUAAUUUGGAUCAAAAAGGAGUGAGGGAAAAUUUUCUGCAGCUUCUGCAAAUGUUGUCUCCAUUCUUUCGAGAAAUCCUCAGCAGGAGACAAUCUCGUCCUCUGACGUUGUGUGUGGGUCUGAGGUCUGGGGGUCGUGUAGCCUUCUCACCGUCAGCCUGAGGAUGACCAUAGCAGGGGGUGGGCAUGGCCAAGAGAAUCACAGAGACCACCAGAUGAAGCUAACCCUGAAACUACCAUCUAUGUGGGCCAAUGGAUGUCCUUAUUGUUCCAACCAGUCCAACUAAGAAUUUCUGCACAGCCAGCAAAACAGAGAGGUGGGCUCCAAGUGCAAGUCCAAACCAGGGCGACUCCCCGAUCCAUGCCUUCCUACAGUGCUUGGCUGCAGGCAUGGCUCUUCUACCCAAGUUGUUUACCAUCUGGCAGAAGGCUUUUGGCAUUCUGCUGUAGUGGCAGAUUUGAUCAUCAGUCACAAUGCCAAAGUAAUGGUGGUUUGAGUCAUUGUUUAUCUGUUGGUCUAAUUCUCCCAUAAUAAAUAUGCAUUGCUUAGAUAAUAAAAAACAACAAAGGGGAAAAUUCCAUGUGAGGCAGAGAUAAAAAAGCUCGGCUAAAAAAGAAGGCUUAUAUAAAGAUAAAGCUGUAUGAUGUGCGUCUGGCAUGUUUUAAAAAAUGCUAAACUGAAUUGGGCCAAAGACAGAGCAAGGCGCUGAGCCUUUUAUCACGUACUAGUGUGUGAUAGGUUCCCUUGGAGACCUGAUUAUUAAUUAGGAGGAGCUUGUUGUAGCUAUUAUCAAACUUCCCUGAUUUCCCCCUGUCAAUAGAGGACCUUACACAGAAAUGUCCUAAUCAAGACAGCUUCUGAAGACAAUGGGUCCAACUAAGAGGGAUUCUAGACCUACUUUUUUUUAAAUGUUUAUUUAUUUUUGAGAGAGAGAGCAUGCGCAAGCUGGGGAGGGGCAGAGAGAUAGGGGGACAGAGGAUCCGAAGCAGGCUCCAUGCUAGGAACAGAGAGUGGGGCUUGCACUCACGAAUGGUGAGAUCAUGACCUGAGCCAAAGUCAGAGGCUUAGCUGACUGAGCCACCCAGGCACUUCAAUUUUAGAACUUUAAUGAGAGGUCCUAAAAGUUCAUGUAAUUUUCAGACUGAGAAAGCCUGAGAGGAUACAUGCCAUCCAUUAGAAGUUUGGUUUAAUGCUGUGUUUUUGUGUGGAUUUGUCUACUUCCCUCACCCAUCAGUGAGAUCUUCAGGGAUAGAGAAGCUCUGCAUGAGGAAAGAGAGCCCCUAACACCCAGGGGUAGGCUCAGUGUUUGUGAGGUUGUACCAUAUUGGCAGAGUGAUGGAGGGGUGUUGAAGCCAAGAGAGGUCAGCCUUCUGAGGAGGGGAGGAGGGCACUGGCCUUGCCCAGUGUCAAUCAGCACUAACUGCAAAGUGGGGAGCAGUCAUUUCUGGAAAGAAAAACCAAAUGAGCGAAGGCUUAUCAGGAAAUGGAGUUGUUUGUCCACUGUGGGAUCCUAAUGCAACUGUUCUAAGCCUUCUUUAACUUUAGGCCUUCUGACUUUGGUUCCUUACCUCAAACAUAUUAAAUUGCCCCCACACCCCACAUUAGAUGGAAUUUAUAUAUGAUAAAUUAUAAAACUAUAAAAAUUGAUAUAAUGCAUUUCAGACACACUAAUCAAAACAUGUAUUAAUUUAAAUUAUACCGCUUUCAUAUUUCAGAGCCAUUAAUUUUUCUUUCUAGUUU